rnacentral:rRNA from 1 species
GAUGAAGCUUUUCGGAGUGUAAACCACUGUCAGAGGGGACGAAAUCUGACGGUACCCUCAGAGGAAGCAUCGGCUAACUACGUGCCAGCAGCCGCGGUAAGACGUAUGAUGCAAGCGUUGUCCGGAAUCAUUGGGCGUAAAGCGUUCGUAGGCGGCCUGUCAAGUCUGAUGUUAAAGCCCAGGACUCANUCCUGGUCCAGCAUUGGAUACUGACAAGCUAGAGUACAUGAGAGGCAAGGGGAAUUCCUAGUGUAGCGGUGAAAUGCGUAGAUAUUAGGAGGAACACCGGUGGCGAAAGCGCCUUGCUGGACUGAGACUGACGCUGAGGGACGAAAGCCAGGGGAGCAAAUGGGAUUAGAUACCCCAGUAGUCCUGGCUGUAAACGAUGGAUACUAGGUGUUGCGGGUAUCGACCCCUGCAGUGCCGCAGCUAACGCGAUAAGUAUCCCGCCUGGGGAGUACGCACGCAAGUGUGAAACUCAAAGGAAUUGACGGGGACCCGCACAAGCGGUGGAACAUGUGGUUUAAUUCGAAGCAACGCGAAGAACCUUACCAGGACUUGACAUCUGGCGAAUCCUGCAGAAAUGCGGGAGUGCCUUCGGGAGCGCCAAGACAGGUGGUGCACGGUUGUCGUCAGCUCGUGUCGUGAGAUGUUGGGUUAAGUCCCGCAACGAGCGCAACCCUCGUUGUUAGUUGCCAAUAACGGCAUGCUGUUAUUGUGCUCUCUAGCGAGACUGCCGGUGAUAAACCGGAGGAAGGUGGGGAUGACGUCAAAUCAUCAUGCCCCUUAUGUCCUGGGCUACACACGUGUUACAAUGGGUGGGACAACGAGCAGCCAGCCAGCGAUGGUGAGCAAAUCUCUUAAACCUACUCCCAGUUCGGAUCGCAGUCUGCAACCCGACUGCGUGAAGUCGGAAUCGCUAGUAACCGUAGAUCAGCACGCUGCGGUGAAUACGUUCCCGGGUCUUGUACACACCGCCCGUCACACCAUGGGAGCUGACCACGCCCGAAGUCGGUGAGCUACUCUUUGAGAAGCAG